ACUUUACACAAUCCACAAGCAUAUUGGAACAAAAAUGGUGGGGAACGUAAGAGAGAGACUGGAAAAAAUGCUCAUCAGAGUAAAGAGCAGAAGAAAGAAAUGGAUGAAGUGGAUAUAAGACCUGUCCUGCUACACAAACAAUAUUAAGGUAAGCUGCUGUGCUGUGAGACGGACACAUGUCAAGGAAUUGAAGAGGCCUCUAAGAGUUAAAAGUGGAACCUGAUUGACAGCCAGUCAAAUUGAGACUGCAGUCCUACAACUUCAAGCAACUUAAUUCUGCCAACAAGCAUAUGUGCAUGUAAGAAGACCACGAGCUCCAGAAAAUAAUGCAGCCCAUCCAAGAAUGCAGUCUAUCCAAGACUGAGACCUUGAA